rnacentral:rRNA from 1 species
GUGUCAGCAGCCGCGGUAAUACGUAGGUGUCGAGCGUUAUCCGGAAUUACUGGGCGUAAAGGGCACGCAGGCGGCCCUUCAAGUCUGACGUGAAAGCUCCCGGCUUAACUGGGAGAGGUCGUUGGAAACUGAAGGGCUUGAGGUAGUGAGAGGGAGGCGGAAUUCCCGGUGUAGUGGUGGAAUGCGUAGAUAUCGGGAAGAACACCAAUGGCGAAGGCAGCCUCCUGGCACUGACCUGACGCUCAUGUGCGAAAGCGUGGGUAGCGAACGGGAUUAGAUACCCCGGUAGUCCACGCCGUAAACGAUGUGAACUAGGUGUAGGCGGUAUUGACCCCGUCUGUGCCGCAGCCAACGCGAUAAGUUCACCGCCUGGGGACUACGGCCGCAAGGCUAAAACUUAAAUGAAUUGACGGGG